rnacentral:misc_RNA from 1 species
UGUACACACCGCCCGUCACACCAUGGGAGUUGGCCACGCCCGAAGUCGUUACCCUAACCGUUCGCGGAGGGGGGCGCCGAAGGCAGGGCUGAUGACUGGGGUGAAGUCGUAACAAGGUAGCCGUACUGGAAGGUGUGGCUGGAUCACCUCCUUUCAAGGGAGACCUAACCUACACUUAGCUGAAACAAAAAGGAAUAGGCGAGUGAGAGGUCAUCUCUAGGUCGUGCAGGAUGAGUUUUUGGUUUUCAAACUAGGUCUGGUGAAGGGCAUGGGCUAUUAGCUCAGGUGGUUAGAGCGCACCCCUGAUAAGGGUGAGGUCCCUGGUUCGAGUCCAGGAUGGCCCACUCGUGGGGGUAUAGCUCAGUUGGUAGAGCGCCUGCUUUGCAAGCAGGAUGUCAGCGGUUCGAGUCCGCUUACCUCCACCAUUAAGAGAAAGAGAGCGAGUUGAAUAGAGAUUAGCAACUUAUCUAAAGGGAUUUGCUGUUAGAGGCAGUGAGUUCAGUUAGAAGUAGGUAAGCUGCUGGUUUCUUGAAACCAGCUAGAACCUUGAAAACUGCAUAGUAAGAGAGUCUGAAAGAAAGGUAGUUGAGCCAUCAAUGUUUGAAAUGGUCAAGCUAUGAAGGGCUCAUGGUGGAUACCUAGGCACACAGAG